rnacentral:tRNA from 1 species
AUUAAAGUGGCAGAAUUGGAGUGCUAUAGUUUUAGGAACUAUAAAUGAAUUUAAUAUUCCUUUAGUA